ACACAUGCAAGUCGAGCGGCAGCGCGGGAGCAAUCCUGGCGGCGAGCGGCGAACGGGUGAGUAAUGCUUCGGAAUCUACCCAUCAAUGGGGAAUAACCAGUCGAAAGACUGGCUAAUACCGCAUACGACCUACGGGUGAAAGCGGGGGCUCGCAAGACCUCGCGUUGAUGGAUGAGCCGAAGUCGGAUUAGCUAGUUGGUAGGGUAACGGCCUACCAAGGCGACGAUCCGUAGCUGGUCUGAGAGGACGACCAGCCACACUGGGACUGAGACACGGCCCAGACUCCUACGGGAGGCAGCAGUGGGGAAUAUUGGACAAUGGGGGAAACCCUGAUCCAGCGACGCCGCGUGUGUGAAGAAGGCCUGCGGGUUGUAAAGCACUUUUAGUGGGGAGGAAAAGCUCGGACCUAACACGUCCGGGAAUUGACUUAACCCAAAGAAAAAGCACCGGCUAACUCUGUGCCAGCAGCCGCGGUAAUACAGAGGGUGCAAGCGUAAUCGGAAU
rnacentral:rRNA from 1 species